rnacentral:rRNA from 1 species
AUAACGGUCCUAAGGUAGCGAAAUUCCUUGUCAGGUAAGUUCUGACCCGCACGAAAGGUGUAACGAUUUGGGCGCUGUCUCGGCAGCAGACUCGGUGAAAUCUUAGUACCUGUGAAAAUGCAGGUUACCCGCAACUAGACGGAAAGACCCCAUGGAGCUUUACUGCAGCCUGAUAUUGAAUUCUGGUCAUACAUGUACAGGAUAGGUGGGAGACAAAGAGACGUGCACGCCAGUGUACGAGGAGUCGGCGUUGGGAUACCACUCUUGUGUGACCGGGGUUCUAACCUGGUAUCGAGAACAGGUACGGGGAGAGUGUCAGGUGGGCAGUUUGACUGGGGCGGUCGCCUCCCAAAGAGUAACGGAGGCGCCCAAAGGUACGCUCAGAUUGGAUGGAAACCAAUCGACGAGUGCAAUUGCAGAAGCGUGCUUGACUGUGAGACUUACAAGUCGAACAGGGACGAAAGUCGGGAAUAGUGAUCCGGCGGUGCCGAAUGGAAGGGCCGUCGCUCAACGGAUAAAAGCUACCCUGGGGAUAACAGGCUGAUCUCGCCCAAGAGUUCACAUCGACGGCGAGGUUUGGCACCUCGAUGUCGGCUCAUCGCAUCCUGGAGCUGGAUUCGGUUCCAAGGGUUGGGCUGUCCGCCCAUUAAAGCGGUACGCGAGCUGGGUUCAGAACGUCGUGAGACAGUUCGGUCCCUAUCUGUUGUGGGCGAAGGAGAUCUGCGGAGAGCUGUCCUCAGUACGAGAGGACCGGGAUGGACCUACCGCUGGUGCACCGGUUGUUCCGCCAGGGGCAUAGCCGGGUAGCUAAGUAGGGAAAGGAUAAGCGCUGAAAGCAUCUAAGCACGAAGCCUACUCCAAGAUGAGAUCUCCCAUUCGCAAGAAGUAAGACCCCUUAAAGACGAUAAGGUAGAUAGGCCAGGGAUGGAAGUGCAGUGAUGUACGGAGUUGACUGGUACUAAUCGGUCGAGGACUUAAUCAG